UCCGAGUUGUCCCCGACAGUCCUUUUAGAGUCCCCGGCAUUACCCGCUGGCAACUAAAAGCAGGGGUUGCGCUCGUUGCGGCACUUAAGCCAACACCUCACGGCACGAGCUGACGACAACCAUGCACCACCUGUGUACGGCCCCUAAGGACACGGGCUUUCACCCGCUUUAACUAGCAUGUCAAACCUAGGUAAGGUUCUUCGCGUUGCAUCGAAUUAAGCCGCAUGCUCCGCCGCUUGUGCGGGCCCCCGUCAAUUCCUUUGAGUUUUAGCCUUGCGGCCGUACUCCCCAGGCGGGGCACUUAAUGCGUUAGCUGCGGCACGGAACUCGUGGAAUGAGCCCCACACCUAGUGCCCAACGUUUACGGCAUGGACUAC
rnacentral:misc_RNA from 1 species